AACGAACGCUGGCGGCAGGCCUAACACAUGCAAGUCGAACGCUGUAGCAAUACAGAGUGGCAGACGGGUGAGUAACACGUGGGAAUCUUCCUGUCGGUACGGAAUAGCUCAGGGAAACGUGAGGUAAUAUCGCACACGCCCUUCGCUGGCAAGAUUUAUCGCCGAUAGAUGAGCCCGCGUCUGAUUAGCUAGUUGGUGAGGUAAUGGCUCACCAAGGCGACGAUCAGUAGCUGGUAUGAGAGGAUGACCAGCCACACUGGGACUGAGACACGGCCCAGACUCCUACGGGAGGCAGCAGUGGGGAAUAUUGGACAAUGGGCACAAGCCUGAUCCAGCCAUGCCGCGUGAGUGACGAAGGUCUUCGGAUUGUAAAGCUCUUUUGGCGGGGACGAUAAUGACGGUACCCGCAGAAUAAGCCCCGGCUAACUUCGUGCCAGCCGCCGCCGUAAAAC
rnacentral:rRNA from 1 species